rnacentral:tRNA from 1 species
GGUUUAGUGGCCGAUACAAGCAAUAAACUGUAAAUUUAUUUAUGAAUUUUAUUCCUAAACCA